UUCUUGGAGAAAACCCUGAAGAAACAAAAAAGAAGUUCAUAAUUGCUGCCGAUGGCGACUCUGGGAAUCCGGCAUAUGCCACUGCUGAUAUUAUGCUGCGGAGACCGCCACUCACAAAACCAUUGAAGUUUCUAGGAGAUUGAUACAACUCGAGAGCCAGAGGAACGUGGAUUUAAUCGUUGGAGCUGACAACGUCGUGGAGCUUCACGUAAGAAAUGUCUUUUCUUUUUCUCAUCCCUGGCGUGAGACGCUGU